rnacentral:rRNA from 1 species
CCUACGGGCGGCAGCAGUGGGGGAUAUUGCACAAUGGGGGAAACCCUGAUGCAGCGACGCCGCGUGUGGGAAGACGGUCCUCUGGAUUGUAAACCACUGUCCCCAGGGACGAAGAUGACGGUACCUGGGGAGGAUGCUUCGGCUAACUACGUACCAGCAGCCGCGGUCAUAGGGAGGGAGCGAGCGUUGUCCGGAAGUACGGGGUGGAAAGGGAGCGGAGGCGGGACGACAAGUAGGGGGUAAAAGCUACUGGCUCAACCGGUAGCCGCACUCAAAACUGCAGAUCUUGAGUGAAGUAGAGGCAGGCGGAAUUCCAGGUGUAGCGGUGAAAUGCGUAGAUAUUAGGAGGAACACCAGUGGCGAAGGCGGCCUGCUGGGCUUUUACUGACGCUGAGGCUCGAAAGUGUGGGGAGCAAACAGGAUUAGAUACCCUUGUAGUC